rnacentral:tRNA from 1 species
GGUUCCAUAGAGUAGUGGUCAGCGCGUCUGUUUUACACGCAAAAGGUCCUGCGUUCGAGCCCCAGUGGAGCCA